GAUGAACGCUAGCGGCAGGCUUAACACAUGCAAGUCGAGGGGUAUAGGUUUUCGGACCUAGAGACCGGCGCACGGGUGCGUAACGCGUAUGCAAUCUACCUUUCACAGAGGGAUAGCCCAGAGAAAUUUGGAUUAAUACCUCAUAGUAGAUGUCUUUCGCAUGUUAGACAUAUUAAAGUUCCAACGGUAAAAGAUGGGCAUGCGUCCUAUUAGCUAGAUGGUAAGGUAACGGCUUACCAUGGCUACGAUAGGUAGGGGUCCUGAGAGGGAGAUCCCCCACACUGGUACUGAGACACGGACCAGACUCCUACGGGAGGCAGCAGUGAGGAAUAUUGGACAAUGGGCGCAAGCCUGAUCCAGCCAUGCCGCGUGCAGGAAGACGGUCCUAUGGAUUGUAAACUGCUUUUGUACGGGAAGAAACACUCCUACGUGUAGGAGCUUGACGGUACCGUAAGAAUAAGGAUCGGCUAACUCCGUGCCAGCCGCCGCAGUAA
rnacentral:rRNA from 1 species